rnacentral:rRNA from 1 species
UACAGGGGAGGCAAGCGUUGUUCGGAAUUACUGGGCGUAAAGGGCUCGUAGGCGGCCAACUAAGUCCGACGUGAAAUCCCCAAGCUUAACUUGGGAACUGCGUCGGAUACUGGAUGGCUUGAAUUCGGGAGAGGGAUGCAGAAUUCCAGGUGUAGCGGUGAAAUGCGUAGAUAUCAGGAGGAACACCGGUGGCGAAGGCGGGUCUCUGGGCCGAUACUGACGCUGAGGAGCGAAAGCGUGGGGAGCGAACAGG